rnacentral:tRNA from 1 species
GCCCCCUUGGCUCAGUGGUAGAGCGUGUCCUUGGUAAGGACAAGGUCCGGGGUUCAAUUCCCCGAGGGGGCU